rnacentral:tRNA from 1 species
AGAAGUGUGCCCGAGAUUAGGGGUUAUUUUGAUGAAAUAAACACAGAGCAGUAUACUCUCACCUCUG